rnacentral:rRNA from 1 species
UUCGGCGGGCCCGCCGUUUCGACGGCCGCCGGGGAGGCCUUGCGCCCCCGGGCCCGCGCCCGCCGAAGACCCCAACAUGAACGCUGUUCUGAAAGUAUGCAGUCUGAGUUGAUUAUCGUAAUCAGUUAAAACUUUCAACAACGGAUCUCUUGGUUCCGGCAUCGAUGAAGAACGCAGCGAAAUGCGAUAAGUAAUGUGAAUUGCAGAAUUCAGUGAAUCAUCGAGUCUUUGAACGCACAUUGCGCCCCCUGGUAUUCCGGGGGGCAUGCCUGUCCGAGCGUCAUUGCUGCCCUCAAGCACGGCUUGUGUGUUGGGCCCCCGUCCCCCUCUCCCGGGGGACGGGCCCGAAAGGCAGCGGCGGCACCGCGUCCGGUCCUCGAGCGUAUGGGGCUUUGUCACCUGCUCUGUAGGCCCGGCCGGCGCCAGCCGACACCCAACUUU